rnacentral:rRNA from 1 species
CAGCUUGUUGGUGAGGUAACGGCUCACCAAGGCUACGAUCAGUAGCUGGUCUGAGAGGAUGAUCAGCCUCACUGGGACUGAGACACGGCCCAGACUCCUACGGGAGGCAGCAGUGGGGAAUAUUGCACAAUGGGCGCAAGCCUGAUGCAGCAACGCCGCGUGCGGGAUGACGGCCUUCGGGUUGUAAACCGCUUUCAGUUCCGACGAAGCGCAAGUGACGGUAGGAACAGAAGAAGGACCGGCCAACUACGUGCCAGCAGCCUGAUACGUAGGGUCCGAGCGUUGUCCGGAAUUAUUGGGCGUAAAGGGCUUGUAGGCGGUUUGCUGCGUCGGAAGUGAAAACUCAGGGCUUAACCCUGAGCCUGCUUCCGAUACGGGCAAACUAGAGGGAUGCAGGGGAGAAUGGAAUUCCUGGUGGAGCGGUGGAAUGCGCAGAUAUCAGGAGGAACACCGGUGGCGAAGGUGGUUCUCUGGGCAUUUCCUGACGCUGAGAAGCGAAAGCGUGGGGAGCAAACAGGCUUAGAUACCCUGGUAGUCCACGCCGUAAACGGUGGGCACUAGGUGUGGGGAACAUUCCACGUUCUCCGUGCCGAAGCUAACGCAUUAAGUGCCCCGCCUGGGGAGUACGGCCGCAAGGC